UGUUUUAGAAUCAGUAGUGUAUCAGUGCAGUGUUGUCUCAGUGCGGUGUUGCUUUCCUUUGUCGUGGUCGUGUCUCCACCGUCCUCUGCCGCCGUCGCACAUCUUCCAUCAUUCGCUCACUUCUCCACUGUCUCAGAGCUGCAGCUUUCUUUUGUAGCGUGGUCGUUUCUCAGAGGAGAAGAUCGUUCUCCACUCUCCACCGUCCUCCACCACCGCUGCACAUCGUUCUCCACCGUUCUUUCAUGGAAACUUCCUCCACCGCCGCUUGAGUAACUGUGCCAUACAAUCGGAGUGCGUUCAGAUUUGCCAUUGCGUUCAAUUUUCGUGCUCCUCUUUUCGUGCGUUCAAUCGGAGUGCGUUCAAUUUUUGUGCGUUCAAUCGGAGUGCGUUCAACUUUUGCUCUUCUGGGAUAUUCUAGCUUGUUUAAGAGAUUCAAGAACACCAUCGAAUUUUUGGUACAAUGUUCGUUGGCAUGGUUCACGAAGUUGCUUACGCCUUGCAAUAAAGGGAUACUUGCAGAAGAAGCAUUGAUGUCAAACGCAAAGAAAGCUUGAACUUUAUUUGGAAUUUUCUCUCUCUUGGGACUCUAAUUUAAUCAUCAAUGCCUUUUCAUCUUUAUUAUACAACAAUACGUGAAGAAGGAAAAGGAUGAAGACUCUUUGCAAAUUCACCAACUAAUUCAGUUUCUGGAAAUAUAGUUAAUACCCUAUUUCCAAUGGAUAAAUCUUGGAUAGACAUGCCAAGAAACACACCUCAAUAUAUGGAUGGCUUAAACAAAUUUUUGGACUUUGCAUUUGCUAAUAGUGGUGUAAGGGGGAAAAUAGUAUGCCCAUGUCAAAAAUGCAACUUUAACAAAUGGCAGGAUCGUGAAUUAGUGUACGAGCACUUGAUUCUUAAACCUUUUCCAAGAGGAUAUACAAUGUGGCUUCUACAUGGGGAGAGGAGAGUAAAUGUGACUGAUGAAACACGUGUAAUGCCGCCAGAAGAUAAUGAAAUAAAUCCAAUGUUUGACAUGGUUAAUGAUGCAUUUGGGUAUCAUCAAUAUAGCAAUGACACGGUGGACGAUAAAGAAAUGGGUCCAGAGUCGAGCCAUGCCGGGAAUGAUGAUAUUGGAGAUUUUGUUGAUUUAAUGAAAGAUGGUCAAGAGAGUUUAUAUGAAGGGUGUGAUAAAUAUUCUAAACUUUCAUUCUUGAUCAAGUUGUAUCACAUCAAAUGUCUUUGCAAAAUAAGUGACAAGGGAAUGUCCAUGAUAUUAGAGUUGUUGGCAGAUGUCUUUGAACAUGCUAAAAUUCCACGCUCAUUCUAUGAAGCAAAGAAAAUCAUUAACAAGCUUGGUCUUCAUUACACCAAAAUCGAUGCUUGUCUGAAUGAUUGCAUGUUGUACUUUGGAGAAGACGCAAAUCGGGACUUUUGUAAGAAAUGUAAAACGUCUAGAUGGAAGGCAAAAAGAAAAGGUACAAUUGGUGCUACAAGUAAUAAAAGAAAAAAGAUUCCUGCAAAGGUGUUGAGGUAUUUUCCUUUGAAGCCACGCUUACAGAGGAUGUUUAUGUCUUCCAAAAUAGUUGAGCAUAUGCAAUGGCAUUCAUCGGGAAGUACAAAUGAAGUCAUCUUAAGGCAUCCAAGAGAUUCUAAAGCAUGGAAGACAUUUGACUUUAAGCAUCCUCAAUUUGCCUCAGACCCUCGAAAUGUGAGACUUGGUUUGGCUACGGAUGGGUUUAAUCCAUAUGGUAAUCUAAGCACUAGCCACAGUAUUUGGCCAGUUGUACUCAUACCGUACAACCUUCCGCCUUGGAUGUGUAUGGAACAAAGUUCAUUCAUUCUCUCCAUGAUCAUUCCUGGAAAGCGAGCUCCAGGAAAUGAUAUUGAUGUAUAUUUACAGCCACUAAUAGAAGAGUUGAAAGAGCUAUGGAACACUGGUAUCAAAACUUUUGAUUCAUAUGGAAGUGAAGUGUUUGAUAUGCAUGCAGCUAUAUUGUGGACCAUUAGUGAUUUUCCGGGUCUUGGAACCUUAUCUGGAUGGAACACACAUACUGGGUUGGCAUGUCCUAGAUGUAAUUUUGACACAACUCCUAAGAAACUUAUUAAAGGUGGUAAAUUUUGUUUCAUGAGUCAUCGUCGUUGUUUAGAUGGAAGACAUAGAUUUAGACUGGCUCGAAUGAGAUUUGAUGGAACAAUAGAAAAUAGAAAUCCACCUUUGGCGAUCUCAGGAUAUGAUGUGUUACAACAAGUUCAGAAUCUUAAUGUUGAAUUUGGGAAAGAACCAUUACUUGAAGAACGGGCCAAAAGACAACGGGAGUUAAUCAUGCUAAGUUAGACACUCAACAAUGGCGAAAAAAAAGUAUAUUUUUUGAACUUCCUUAUUGGGUAGACAACUUAUUGCAUCACAAUUUGGAUGUCAUGCACAUUGAAAAAAAUGUAUGUGAUAAUGUUGUGUAUACAUUGUUGAAUGAUAGUUCAAAUAAAUGUAAAGACAAUCUAAAAGCACGAAAAGAUUUACAACUCUGGGGUAUUAGACCUGAUCUUUGGCCUGAUGAGAAUGGUAGAUAUCUCCCUGCUAUAUAUACAUUGACAAAUGCAAAUAAAGAUAUCUUUCUCAAAACUUUGAAGAACAUAACAGUUCCAGAUGGCUACUCUAGUAACAUUAGUAGAUGCAUUGAUGUCAAACAACGUAAGCUUGGAGGAUUAAAAAGUCAUGACUCACAUGUUUUGAUGGAGCAACUUCUACCUUUGGCAAUUAGAAAGACACUCCCUAAUGAAGUUUGCUCAAUUUUGAUUGAUUUGUGUUUGUUUUUUAGACAAUUGUGUAAUAAAGUUUUGAAAAUGGAUGAACUUGACCAACUACAAGGUAGAAUUGUUCUCACAUUGUGUCACAUGGAGAUGUUAUUUCCUCCUUCCUUUUUUACGGUCAUGGUUCAUUUAAUUGUUCAUUUAGUGGAAGAUGCUAAGCUUGGAGGACCCGUCCAAUACCGAUGGAUGUAUCCCAUUGAGAGGUAUCUUGGAAAAUUGAAGUCGUAUGUCCGUAAUAAAGCACAAGCAGAAGGAUCAAUAGCUGAAGGAUACAUGGCUGAAGAGUCUUUAACAUUUUGUUCUAGAUAUUUAGAUGGAAUUGAGACUGUAUUCAAUCGAUUGCAUCGUGUUGAUGAUGAACCUAAUAAUGUGUCUUGUAAUGUAAGUACAUUGUUCCCACCAAUCGGAAAACCAGUUGGGAGUUUUACUUAUUUCACUCUAUCUACAAAGGAAAAGCUGCAAGCACAUCGUCAUGUGCUAACAAAUUGCCCCAUAGUUGACCCAUUUAUACAGGAAUUUAGAGGCAUUAUACGAACACAACUAAGAAGCCGCACACGAUCUUCCUCUGUGAUAGACAAAAGGGUUCAUAAAGAAUUUGUUGAGUGGUUUUCACGUCGUAUAAGGAAUGAAUCAUUUGAUAUCCAUUCAGAUGAUUUAAAGUUCUUGGCCAUGGGUCCUAUUGAUUGUGCAAAGCGAUAUAGUGCCUACAAUGUUAAUGGGUUCAAAUUUCGUAUAUUGGAGCGUGAUCUAUGGCUUAAAACACAAAACAGUGGAGUGUUUGGUACAUUUGGGAUAAGGAGUUAUGCAAGUAGUAGUGAUAAUCAAAUGCAGUUUGGAGGUGGGCCGUAUUAUGGUCGAUUGGUAGACAUAAUUGAGAUAAACUACCAUGGUCGAUUCUCAAUUGUUUUAUUCAAAUGUAAUUGGGCUAAUACAACUACUUCUAGAGGGAUUAUGAGUGAUGAGUAUGGAUUUACAUUAGUAAGUUUUGCACGCUUAAUCCAUACUGGUGAUAAUGAUGAUGACGAGCCAUACAUUAAGGCAUCAGAAGCUCAAAUGGUGUAUUAUGUAGACGAUGAGUUGGAUAAAAAUUGGUGCAUACCUGUACAUGUAAAGCCUAGAGACUUAUACAACAUGGGUGGAGAUGAUGUUGACAACUUUCAUGAAUGUGAGCCAUUUGAACAACAAAACCUAGAAAUAUUAUUUUCUAACGAGGAUGGAAAUAUACAACUAGCAAGACCACCGGAAGAUGAAGAAAAUAUCAACCAAGAAGAAAAUGUCAACCAAUAAAUCUUCUACAUGGGGACAUGUAGUUACACCUGCAGCUCAUCAUCAAUCUCAUUCAGGAGACUUGAAGAUGAACUUUUCAACCUCAAGUAAGUCUAAGUCAAAAUCUGAAGAAGUGAGUACUCAUUCUUCACUUCCUAGUACUCAACCUCCAAGACUUGAAGUACAAAUUCCAACCCCAAUUACAUCUCAAGUAAAUAUUCAACAAGGUCCUACAUUUUCAUUUCCCCCCCCCCCCCCCACUUCCAUCUGCAUCUCAAGCAAGUAUUCAACAAGGUCCUAAGUAUGCUUGCCCUCCACCUCCAUCUGCACCUCGGCCAAGAACCUUGAAAGUGAGGAUAUCUUCAACUAGCCAGCCCCCAAUUGCGCCUCAAUCUAAUUCUCAGCCACCAUAUCAAUCAUUUCAUGUUUCUGAACCAACAAUACCAACUAUAUCACAUUCAUAUUCUGAAAAUGAAGAGGAAGAAAAUGAGGAGACUGAGUUGCAAGUAGAUGAACAAAGGCCUGCAACCCGAAAAAGAGCAUGGUUUGUUAAUGUCAUUGAUGAUCAAGGAAAGAGAAUUACAAAACAACUACGAACCAAUGAUGUGUGGCAUUUACCUCCUAAUGAAAGGAUUGUUGUGCAGUGGAAUAAUGAGGGUCAACCAAUUGCAGAUGGUGGAGCAUUAUUGAAUAGGUUCUUGGGUAGCAUUGCAAGAAACUCUAAUUCUCUUCCUAUUAGUUAUUCUAGUUGGAAGAAGAUUCCUAAAGAUUAUAAAGAAGACGUAGUUAAGAAUACUAUUCAGGCUAAGUUUGAUGUCCAUUCUGAUGUUCAUAUAAGUCACAUCCUCAAAUCACUUAACAUAAAGUGGAGAGACCACCGA